ACGGGAGGCAGCAGUGGGGAAUAUUGCACAAUGGGGGGAACCCUGAUGCAGCGAUGCCGCGUGGAGGAAGAAGGUUUUCGGAUUGUAAACUCCUGUCUUAAAGGACGAUAAUGACGGUACUUUAGGAGGAAGCUCCGGCUAACUACGUGCCAGCAGCCGCGGUAAUACGUAGGGAGCGAGCGUUGUCCGGAAUUACUGGGUGUAAAGGGCGCGUAGGCGGGAUAGCAAGUCAGGUGUGAAAUCUAUGGGCUUAACCCAUAAACUGCACUUGAAACUGUUAUUCUUGAGUGUCGGAGAGGUAGAUGGAAUUCCUAGUGUAGCGGUGAAAUGCGUAGAUAUUAGGAGGAACACCAGUGGCGAAGGCGAUCUACUGGACGAUAACUGACGCUGAGGCGCGAAAGCGUGGGGAGCAAACAGGAUUAGAUACCCUGGUA
rnacentral:rRNA from 1 species